UAUUAGACCAGGCUCAAUCUGGAGGUUGA
rnacentral:piRNA from 1 species